rnacentral:rRNA from 1 species
CCUACGGGAGGCAGCAGUGGGGAAUAUUGCACAAUGGGGGAAACCCUGAUGCAGCGACGCCGCGUGAGUGAAGAAGUAAUUCGUUAUGUAAAGCUCUAUCAGCAGGGAAGAAAAUGACGGUACCUGAGUAAGAAGCCCCGGCUAACUACGUGCCAGCAGCCGCGGUAAUACGUAGGGGGCCAGCGUUAUCCGGAUUUACUGGGUGUAAAGGGAGCGUAGACGGCAGUGCAAGUCUGGAGUGAAAGGGGGGGGCUCAACCCCCGGACUGCUCUUGAAACUGUACGGCUGGAGUGCAGGAGAGGUAAGUGGAAUUCCUAGUGUAGCGGUGAAAUGCGUAGAUAUUAGGAGGAACACCAGUGGCGAAGGCGGCUUACUGGACUGUAACUGACGUUGAGGCUCGAAAGCGUGGGGAGCAAACAGGAUUAGAUACCCCUGUAGUC